rnacentral:rRNA from 1 species
GAUGAACGCUAGCGGCAGGCCUAAUACAUGCAAGUCGAACGGAUAUAUGUUUUUCGGAAUAUAUAUUAGUGGCGCACGGGUGAGUAACACGUACAUAACUUGCCCUCAAGCGGGGGAUAGCCUUGGGAAACUGAGAGUAAUACCCCAUAGAAUUAUUGGACGGCAUCGUUUGAUAAUUAAAAACUACGGUGUUUGGGGAUAGAUGUGCGUCUGAUUAGCUAGUUGGUGAGGUCACUGCUCACCAAGGCGACGAUCAGUAGGGGGCGUGAGAGCGUGGCCCCCCACACGGGUACUGAGACACGGACCCGACUCCUACGGGAGGCAGCAGUAAGGAAUAUUGCGCAAUGGGGGAAACCCUGACGCAGCGACGCCGCGUGAGCGAAGAAGGCCUUAGGGUCGUAAAGCUCUGUUUUAGGGGACGAAAUGUCGAGAGGAAUAAAUACGUCUCUCGAAAUGAACGGUACCCCUAAGAGGAAAGCCCCGGGCUAAACUACGUGCCCAAGCAGCCCGCGGUAAAUCUGUAAGUCGUC